rnacentral:rRNA from 1 species
UACGUAGGGGGCAAGCGUUGUCCGGAAUCAUUGGGCGUAAAGAGCGUGUAGGCGGCUCGGUAAGUCCGCUGUGAAAGUCCAGGGCUCAACCCUGGAAUGCCGGUGGAAACUGUCGGGCUAGAGUCCGGAAGAGGCGAGUGGAAUUCCUGGUGUAGCGGUGAAAUGCGCAGAUAUCAGGAGGAACACCAAUGGCGAAGGCAGCUCGCUGGGACGGUACUGACACUGAGACGCGAAAGCGUGGGGAGCAAACAGG